CGUAGGAGGCGAGCGUUAUCCGGAUUCACUGGGCGUAAAGCGCGUGCAGGUGGUUCGGUAAGUUGGGCGUGAAAUCUCCCGGCUCAACUGGGAGAGGUCGUUCAAUACUACCGAACUUGAGAGCAGAAGAGGAAGAUGGAAUUCCCGGAGUAGUGGUGAAAUGCGUAGAUAUCGGGAGGAACACCAGUGGCGAAGGCGAUCUUCUGGUCUGUUUCUGACACUCAGACGCGACAGCUAGGGUAGUAAACGGGAUUAGAGACCCCGGUAAUCCUAGCCGUAAACGAUGUGAACUUGGCGUUGGUGGGUUAAACUCCAUCAGUGCCGUAGCAAACGCGAUAAGUUCACCGCCUGGGGACUACGGCCGCAAGGUUA
rnacentral:rRNA from 1 species